AUGAACGCUAGCGGGAGGCCUAACACAUGCAAGCCGAGCGGUAGAGAUCUUUCGGGAUCUUGAGAGCGGCGUACGGGUGCGGAACACGUGCGCAACCUGCCUUUAUCAGGGGGAUAGCCUUUCGAAAGGAAGAUUAAUACCCCAUAAUAUAAGAAACGGCAUCGUUUUUUAUUGAAAACUCCGGUGGAUAGAGAUGGGCACGCGCAAGAUUAGAUAGUUGGUGAGGUAACGGCUCACCAAGUCUACGAUCUUUAGGGGGCCUGAGAGGGUGAUCCCCCACACUGGUACUGAGACACGGACCAGACUCCUACGGGAGGCAGCAGUGAGGAAUAUUGGACAAUGGGUGCGAGCCUGAUCCAGCCAUCCCGCGUGAAGGACGACGGCCCUAUGGGUUGUAAACUUCUUUUGUAUAGGGAUAAACCUACCCUCGUGAGGGUAGCUGAAGGUACUAUACGAAUAAGCACCGGCUAACUCCGUGCCAGCAGCCGCCGUAAUAC
rnacentral:rRNA from 1 species